rnacentral:rRNA from 1 species
UGAGGAAUAUUGGUCAAUGGGCGAGAGCCUGAACCAGCCAAGUAGCGUGAAGGAUGAAGGCUCUAUGGGUCGUAAACUUCUUUUAUAUGGGAAUAAAGUUUUCCACGUGUGGAAUUUUGUAUGUACCAUAUGAAUAAGGAUCGGCUAACUCCGUGCCAGCAGCCGCGGUAAUACGGAGGAUCCGAGCGUUAUCCGGAUUUAUUGGGUUUAAAGGGAGCGUAGGUGGAUUGUUAAGUCAGUUGUGAAAGUUUGCGGCUCAACCGUAAAAUUGCAGUUGAAACUGGCAGUCUUGAGUACAGUAGAGGUGGGCGGAAUUCGUGGUGUAGCGGUGAAAUGCUUAGAUAUCACGAAGAACUCCGAUUGCGAAGGCAGCUCACUAGACUGUUACUGACACUGAUGCUCGAAAGUGUGGGUAUCAAACAGG